AGAUUGAACGCUGGCGGCAUGCCUUACACAUGCAAGUCGAACGCGAAAGCGAGGCAACCCGCAAGUAGAGUGGCGAACAGGUGAGUAAUACAUCGGAACAUUUCCAGUAGCGGGGAAUAACCUGUCGAAAGAUAGGCUAAUACCGCAUACGACCUAAGGAUGAAAGCGGAGGACCGCAAGGCUUCGCACUAUUGGAGUGACCGAUGUCGGAUUAGCUAGUUGGCGAGGUAACAGCCCACCAAGGCUACGAUCCGUAGCUGGUCUGAGAGGACGAUCAGCCACACUGAACUGAGACACGGUCAGACUCCUACAGAA
rnacentral:rRNA from 1 species